GUGAACGCUGGCGGUAGGCCUAACACAUGCAAGUCGAACGGCAGCACAGUAAGAGCUUGCUCUUACGGGUGGCGAGUGGCGGACGGGUGAGGAAUACAUCGGAAUCUACUUUUUCGUGGGGGAUAACGUAGGGAAACUUACGCUAAUACCGCAUACGACCUACGGGUGAAAGCAGGGGAUCUUCGGACCUUGCGCGAUUGAAUGAGCCGAUGUCGGAUUAGCUAGUUGGCGGGGUAAAGGCCCACCAAGGCGACGAUCCGUAGCUGGUCUGAGAGGAUGAUCAGCCACACUGGAACUGAGACACGGUCCAGACUCCUACGGGAGGCAGCAGUGGGGAAUUUUGGACAAUGGGCGCAAGCCUGAUCCAGCCAUUCCGCGUGGGUGAAGAAGGCCUUCGGGUUGUAAAGCCCUUUUGUUGGGAAAGAAAAGCAGCAGGUUAAUACCCCGCUGUUCUGACGGUACCCAAAGAAUAAGCACCGGCUAACUUCGU
rnacentral:rRNA from 1 species